rnacentral:sRNA from 1 species
UCGUGCCUCUUUUUGAAGCGAAAUCCUUUUAAAAUUUUCAGGUUUUUUCAUUUUAUGAAACCCGAGUGAAAAAAUUUUAAAAGAUUGCAGCGAAAAGAGGGACCAAAA